AUCUAGAGAAAAUAAAAUAACUAUGCAUGAUUUGAUGAAUGCCACUUGUACACCAAAAAUACCAUGAAAUUAAUUAAUAAUUUGGGACACUUUUAUAAACCAAAAAUAACACUAUUCAUCCUCAUUUUCAUCCCAAAAGUCGUGUCCUCCAUAGCCAAGGAGUUCCAAGCUUUCAUCUUCAAAUUUUAGCUCUGUUUCUCAACGUAUUGAAUACCCGAUCGCGCAAUCGGUGUUAAAUCAAGCUACACCCAAAUGUUAGCAAAUGAAAGGAAAAAGGAUCGGCGAAAGAAGAAAUGUCGAAUGGAAAGGUUUGGAAAUAACGUCAUCCAGGUAGCAUGCUCAACACUUAAAUGGCCUAAUUCUCUUACGUGUUUUUCCGUGAUUAUUACGUGACUUAUUGUCUAAAUAAUUUAUGAUUAAUUACUUGAUAAAAUAUUCAUGAAGUAAAAUAUAAGAAUAUGAUGGAUUGUUGAUUGAUUUGA